rnacentral:rRNA from 1 species
UCCCGGGUCUUGUACACACCGCCCGUCACACCACGAGAGUUUGUAACACCCGAAGCCGGUGGAGUAACCUUUUAGGAGCUAGCCGUCGAAGGUGGGACAAAUGAUUGGGGUGAAGUCGUAACAAGGUAGCCGUAUCGGAAGGUGCGGCUGGAUCACCUCCUUUCUAAGGA